GUGGCCUUGGACCGCUCCAGGUGCCGCACGAACUCCUCGUCCGUCUUGAACUCCGUCACGCAGUCCACAGGGCAGACCUCGUCAUCGUCCUCCUCCACGAGGGGAAGGCCCGGGAGAGACCCGUUCGCUGAGGAGGCCAGGCGGCGCCGGUGGUGGUGGCUGAGAGUGGCUCUUGGGAAAGGGACGGUGGCGGCGGUAGGGGAGCGGUAGGCGGCGCCGGCGAUGGUGGUGGGGGAGACAGAGAAGGAGCGGAGGGGGAGGUAGGAGGUGAUCAUGGCUGCAUUCUAGUGGUGCGUCGAGGUGUU
rnacentral:lncRNA from 1 species